GUCGGGAUAGCUCAGCCGGUAGAGCAGAGGACUGAANAUCC
rnacentral:tRNA from 1 species